AUUGAACGCUGGCGGAAUGCUUUACACAUGCAAGUCGAACGGCAGCACGGACUUCGGUCUGGUGGCGAGUGGCGAACGGGUGAGUAAUGUAUCGGGACGUGCCCAGUCGUGGGGGAUAACGUAGUGAAAAUUACGCUAAUACCGCAUACGAUCUAUGGAUGAAAGCGGGGGAUCGCAAGACCUCGCGCGAUUGGAGCGGCCGAUAUCAGAUUAGGUAGUUGGUGGGGUAAAGGCCCACCAAGCCAACGAUCUGUAGCUGGUCUGAGAGGACGACCAGCAACACUGGAACUGAGACACGGUCCAGACUCCUACGGGAGGCAGCAGUGGGGAAUUUUGGACAAUGGGCGAAAGCCUGAUCCAGCCAUUCCGCGUGCAGGAUGAAGGCCCUCGGGUUGUAAUCUGCUUUUGUACAGAACGAAAAGGUUUCUACUAAUACUAGGAGCUCAUGACGGUACUGUAAGAAUAAGCACCGGCUAACUACGUGCCAGCAGCCGCGGUAA
rnacentral:rRNA from 1 species